GUUCAAAUGAGGAAAGGCUUAUGGUGGAUACCUAGGCACCCAGAGACGAGAAAGGGCGUAGUAAUCGAUGAAAUGCUUCGGGAAGUUAAAAAUAAGCAUAGAUUCGGAGAUUCAUGAAUAGGGCAACCUUUCGAACUGCUGCUGAAUCUAUAAGUAGGCAAGAGAUAACUUGGUGAACUGAAACAUCUUAGUAGCCAAAGGAAAAGAAAGCAAAAGCGAUUUUUGUAGUAGCGGCGAGCAAAAUGGGAGCAACCUAAACCGUGAAAAUGGGGUUGUGGGAGAGUAAUACAAGCGUCGUGAUGCUAGGCGAAGUAGCCCGAAUGUUUCACCCUAGAUGGCGAAAGUCCAGUAGCCAAAAACAUCACACCUUAUGCUCUGACCCGAGUAAUAUGGGGCACGUGGAAUCCCAUGUGAAUCCGCAAGGACCACUUUGUAAGGCUAAAUACUCCUAGAUGAUCGAUAGCGAAGUAGUACCGUGAGGGAAGGGUGAAAAGAACCCCCAUCAGGGAGUGAAAUAGAACAUGAAACCGUAAGCUCCCAAGUAGUGGGAUGAGCCAGGGCUCUGACCGCGUGUCUGUUGAGAAUGAGCCGGCGACUCAUAUGUAGUGGCUUGGUUAAGGGAACCCACUGGAGCCGUAGUGAAAGCGAGUCUUCAUAGGGCAAUUGUCACUACUUAUGGACCCGAACCUGGGUGAUCUAUCCAUGACCAGGAUGAAACUUGGGUGAAACUAAAUGGAGGUCCGAACGACUGAUGUUGAAGAAUCAGCAGAUGAGUUGUGGUUAGGGGUGAAAUGUCACUCGAACCCAGAGCUAGCUGGUUCUCCCCGAAAUAUGUUGAGGCGCAACAAUUGACUGGACAUCUAGGGGUAAAGCACUAUUUUGGUGCGGGCUGCGAGAGCGGUACCAAAUCGAGGCAAACUUUGAAUACUAGAUAUGACCAUAAAAUAACAGGGGUCAAGGUCGGCUAGUGAGACGAUGGGGGAUAAGCUUCAUCGUCGAUAGGGAAACAAGACGGAUCACCAGCUAAGACUCCUAAAUGAUCGCUCAGUGAUAAAGGAGGUAGGAGUGCAGAGACAACUAGGAGGUUUGCCUAGAAGUAGCCACCCUUGAAAGGGUGCAUAAUAGCUCACUGAUUGAGCGCUCUUGAGCCAAAGAUGAAUGUGGCUAAGUGAUCUACCGAAGCUGUGGGAUGUAAAAAUACAUCGGUAGGGGAGCGUUCUGCAUUAGAGAAAAGCCUCUGGGCGAGCGGUGGUAGACGAAGCGAAAGUGAGAAUGUCGGCUUGAGUAAUGCAAGCAUUGGUGAGAAUCCAAUGCCCCGAAAACCUAAGGGUUCCUAUGCAAGGUUCGUCCACGGAGGGUGAGUCAGGGCCUAAGAUUAGGCCAAAAGGUGUAGUCGUUGGAAAUUACUGUACUGCCCCUUGUUGGUCCCGAGGGAUGGAGGAGGCUAGGUUAGUCGAAAAAUAGUUAUCGGUUCAAGAACGUAAGGUGUCCUUGCUUUUUCAAGGUAAGAAGGGGUAGAGAAAAUGCCUCGAGCCAAUGUUUGAAUACCAGGCGCUACGGCGCUGCAGUAACCCAUGCCAUACUCCUAGGAGAUUUUCCAAUAUCAAUAGUUCAAACAACCAUUUACGUAAAUUAAUAGUUGUAAGAUAUCUAAUGAAACCAUCGCUGGAAUUGAGAUCUUAUUCAAAGAGAAAGAUCUCAAAUAUCUGGAGUUUUUUUUUGUAUAUUAUAUGGAUGAUCCGAUCUGGAAAGACUAUGAUUGGGAAUUGUUUGAUUGUCUUUCUCUGAGGAAGAGUUGAAAUAGAAUGAAUUUGAAUUC
rfam:Nicotiana sylvestris Nsyl_contig131972, whole genome shotgun sequence.